rfam:Lachancea lanzarotensis strain CBS 12615 genome assembly, scaffold: LALA0S07
AACCUGUUGGCCAAAUGGUAAGGCAUCCCCCUCCUAAGGGGAAGACUGCGGGUUCGAGUCCCGUACAGGUUG